GGGGACGUAGCGCUCGCUUCGCAUGCGAGAGGCACGGGGUUCGAUUCCCCGCGUCUCCA
rnacentral:tRNA from 1 species